AAAUGAAUAGACGGGGGCCCGCACAAGCAGUGGAGUAUGUGGUUUAAUUCGAAGCAACGCGAAGAACCUUACCAGGGCUUGACAUAAUACUGAAUAUAGUAGAGAUACUAUAGUCCUUCGGGACAGUAUUACAGGUGGUGCAUGGUUGUCGUCAGCUCGUGUCGUGAGAUGUUGGGUUAAGUCCCGCAACGAGCGCAACCCCUGUUGCUAGUUGGCAUCAUUAAGUUGGCCACUCUAGCGAGACUGCCGGUGACAAAUCGGAGGAAGGUGGGGACGACGUCAAAUCAUCAUGCCCCUUAUGUCCUGGGCUACACACGUACUACAAUGGCUGUUACAGAGGGUAGCGAAGCAGCAAUGCGGAGCCAAUCCCCAAAAACAGUCCCAGUUCGGAUUGUGGGCUGCAACUCGCCCACAUGAAGUCGGAAUUGCUAGUAAUGGCAGGUCAGCAUACUGCCGUGAAUACGUUCCCGGGCCUUGUACACACCGCCCGU
rnacentral:rRNA from 1 species